CGCCAACCGCCACUUUUCAUUCUCAGCAUCGCACGUCAUCGGCGAAGAGGGUGCAGAACCUGCGGUGGCUGCGGACACCUUUUCGCUUUCUAGCUUCUCCACUAUAUCGGUGGUGGCGCUGUUCCCAUGUCACUGCCUCGUGUAGAAAUCAGCGUGGAGUUGGGGGCCGACACGCCGGAUCACUCCCGUACCGACUACCCCUUUAACCGCAGCCGCCGCGACAGCCUGGCGAGCUCGCGCUUUAGCAGCCGCCUCAGCCGGCGCUCCAGCGUGCGCGAUGAGGUGCAGUCGCUCGAUGAGUUCCUGCGAAAGCAGCGCGUUAUUCGGUACAUGCAGGAGGAGCGGGAGCGUGCGGAGCGGUCGAAGCUGCUGCGCGAGGAACAUGACUUCUGGGUCGAGUUCCGCGAUCGUGAGCGUGCGGAGCGUCUGAAGUACAUGACAGAGCAGGAGAUCGUGGAGCUGCUGCAGAGGGAGGCGGACGAGGCGACGCGUGAAAGCAACCGCGCUGACCAGUUCCACCAGCGGGCCAUGGAGGAUGCGCUGCGGCGCCGCCACAUCACGGCGGAUGUGCAGCGUGGGGAGGAAGAUAGUGCGCUGGCGCGUCUCAAGGGCGAGGUGCAGGUGGAUGGUAUUCGACUCGCUGCUGAGCGGGAGACCUCGGUGAUGGUAGAGGCCAUGACAGUGGCAGAGCGCACGCGGCGCCCCUGCAUUGAGCGCCAGCAGCGCGAAGAGGACUUGACAGCAAAGUGCCAGCAGCUGACGACGGAGCUGGAGGAAGCUAGGGCUUCUGCCACGCGAGCUCAACGAUACCAGAAGCGCGCCGAAGACGAUCUGACACGGGAGCGAGAGAAUACGCGGAAAGAGAAGACCACCGCAGCAGCCUGCAAGGAGGCCAACGACAAACUCUUGAAGGAGCUAGCCGAGGUGCGGCAGCAACUCACAGCCUCUGAGGCAGAGAGGAAGAAGGCGGAGGCUGCAAAGGCGCAGGCUGCGCGGGAGGUUGCGCAAAAGGAGGAGGAGCUCACCAGUCUGAGGAAACGCAACGACGAGCUAUCGGCGCAGCAGACAUCGCAGAAGGCCGCCGCCGAGGACGAGAAGCAGCGCGCAUUUCCGUUUCAGGAAGAGCUGAAGGCGUAUAGGGAUGCACUGGACAAGGAGCAGGCAGCGCGAAGCAGGGCUGAGACCGAGGUGGCGGCGCUGCGGGCGCAGGCAAAGGCGCUCGAGGCGAGGGUGGCUGCCGCGAGUGCGCCCGACCCGAAACAGGUGGCAGAUAACAUGCGGAAACUGAAGGCCGUCGCCGACGACGCCCGCAAGGCGCAGGCCGACCUCGUAAAGGAGCGCCAGGCGCGCGAGAGUGCCGAGGCUGUCGCGGCGGAGGCGAGAGAUGCCCUAGCUAAGGAGCAGGCGGCGCGCGAGAAGGUAGAGAAGGAAGCACAGAGGGCGCUGGCGGCGUCAAGUGUUCCAGUACUACAUGUGCAAAAGGCCGAGUCUGAUCGCAAAAAGCUAGCUGAGGCGGAGAAGAAGCUGGAGGAGAUGCGGAGGGCACGGAACAGGGACGAGGUUGAGAAGGCCGCACUGAAGCGGGAGAUGGAGAAGGUGAAGAGGGAUCUCGAAGAUGAAGCCAGUGCGCGGGCUCAGUUUGAGCAGCUUGCAUCGCAAGCCGUCAGCGCAGACGAUCGCGUUCCACGGAGGGAGGUGGACCAGCUGCGAAAGGCGCUGCAGAUCUCGCAGGAGCAAUGCGACGCAGCACGAAGGGACACCGUUGCAUGCCAGCAGAACGCAGCACGCGAGGUCGCCUUACUCAAGGCUUGGUGCGAGCGCCUGCAGCAGCAGCAUCGCAUGCAGCAGCAGCUGUUGCAAAGUGAUGAGGAGUUCACCCCGCGGACGGCAACACCAACGCCACACUCUCGCACACCGCGCUCUGUGCGGAAGCGUAUCCCACAAGACCUCGCGGCUGAUCAGCGGCAGGCGGAGGAGAUGGCGGCGAGCGACCAGCGCAUCCGCGAACUGGAGGCACACGUGGCGCGGCUGCAGGCGGACCUGGAGAGGAGCAAGGACCAAGAAAGGAAGGCGGCCGCAGAAGCGGAGCAGGCGCGUAAGGCGCUCAAAGCGUCCACCGCCACCUCCAAGCCUGAUUCGUCGAAGCCGUCGCCGGGCCCAUCUGAGCGUGGUGCCGCGAAGCAGCAGGAGGCCAAAGAGAGGGCAAUGCUGCAGCGGUUGGACGCCUUGGAGAGGGACUGCGCGGAGGCGCAAAGAAAGUACGAUGAUCUCGUUGUGGCCCACAGGCAGUCAGAGGCCGCUCGCUGUGAGGCGGAGCUGCAGGUUGCGGCGCAGCGGGCGCAGAUCGAACAACGGCAGAGGGAGGAGCCUCAGUCGUACACUUCAGCGUUGGGGAACUAUGAAACGUCGCGCUCGGAGCCGAUGCCAGCGACUGCUGGUGAGAGCACGAGCGCACUCGAGGAGCGCAUCAAGGAGCUGGAGCGGCACCUAACAGAGGAGCGCGUGGUUCGACAGGCCGCUGAGAGGCGCGCAGAGGAGCUUCAGAAGCUGUGUGCUGCGCCAGGGGCUGACGCCAAGUCUGCAGCGAAGCAGGCGGAGGCGAAUGUUUCCUCAAGUGGUGCAGGCGCCAAAUGCAAGCCCCAGAAGGCGAAGAGCGGGUGCUGCUAGUGCAGUAUGCUUUCUCUCGACUUUUCAUUGGUGCUAAGCGCAGACAACGAGAGGGCGAACGUUUGGGCCGCAAUCUCUGUGCGGCUUUGCAGUUUUCCUUCUCGAUGACGCGUUUCUUGUGUAGUAGAGGACAGCAGCGUCCCUCCUAAGCGCUGGUAGGUCCAUCGGUGGAGUUCCCCUCUUCCAAGUGCACUGUAGUCCCGCUUUCCCCUGCAGCGGUGUGUGUGUGUGUGCUGGGGGGGUAGGGGAGGGGUGCGAAACAUGUGCCAUUGCAGCACGUAGGCUCGGUCAUGACGACUCAUGCUUGCCAUCUCCGUAGCGCCUCCCCCUUUGUUCUAUGUGUACGUGUUUCUUUCUCGCACAGGAACACUCAGCCCAGCGAGCACACGCAUCGUCUAUCCCUCUUUCACGUAGGGCGAUGCUCUUCUUUUUCUUAGUUGCCUUCUACGCCGCCUCUCCCCCGUCACCCUUACUCAAGCCGUAACGUUAGAUUUUUUCUCCCUUGCUUAUCCCCAUCAUUGUGUACUAUGUCGUUUCUGUAUAUAUAUAUAUAUAUAUUCGCUAUACUGUAGACCUUUGCCUGCCGCCACUGCACGUGAAAAAGGUGCAGCCGCCUUAGAUCACCUUCUUCUGUGCACGCACCGUAGUGCUUCAGGUGAUUUUUGGCCGUGUGUGUUGUGCAGGAAACUCCUCGGUGUGCGGCAAUCCAAUGCUGAUCACGUUGGCGACGUUAUCGUUGUUGACAUUCUCAGUGGCGCGUGUGCGUUUUUGU
rnacentral:misc_RNA from 1 species